GGGUUGUGAGGUUAAGCGACUAAGCGUACACGGUGGAUGCCCUGGCAGUCAGAGGCGAUGAAGGGCGUGCUAAUCUGCGAUAAGCGCCGGUAAGGUGAUAUGAACCGUUAUAACCGGCGAUACCCGAAUGGGGAAACCCAGUGUGACUCGUCACACUAUUAUUAACUGAAUCCAUAGGUUAAUGAGGCGAACCGGGGGAACUGAAACAUCUAAGUACCCCGAGGAAAAGAAAUCAACCGAGAUUCCCCCAGUAGCGGCGAGCGAACGGGGAGGAGCCCAGAGCCUGAAUCAGCAUGUGUGUUAGUGGAAGCGUCUGGAAAGGCGCGCGAUACAGGGUGACAGCCCCGUACACAAAAGCGCAUGUGCUGUGAGCUCGAUGAGUAGGGCGGGACACGUGGUAUCCUGUCUGAAUAUGGGGGGACCAUCCUCCAAGGCUAAAUACUCCUGACUGACCGAUAGUGAACCAGUACCGUGAGGGAAAGGCGAAAAGAACCCCGGCGAGGGGAGUGAAAAAGAACCUGAAACCGUGUACGUACAAGCAGUGGGAGCACAGGUUUCUGUGUGACUGCGUACCUUUUGUAUAAUGGGUCAGCGACUUAUAUUCUGUAGCAAGGUUAACCGAAUAGGGGAGCCGGAGGGAAACCGAGUCUUAAUUGGGCGUUAAGUUGCAGGGUAUAGACCCGAAACCCGGUGAUCUAGCCAUGGGCAGGUUGAAGGUUGGGUAACACUAACUGGAGGACCGAACCGACUAAUG
rnacentral:rRNA from 1 species